rnacentral:rRNA from 1 species
UACGGGGGGGGCAAGCGUUGUUCGGAAUUACUGGGCGUAAAGGGCUCGUAGGUGGCCAACUAAGUCGGACGUGAAAUCCCUCGGCUCAACCGGGGAACUGCGUCCGAUACUGGAUGGCUUGAGUUUGGGAGAGGGAUGCGGAAUUCCAGGUGUAGCGGUGAAAUGCGUAGAUAUCUGGAGGAACACCGGUGGCGAAGGCGGCAUCCUGGACCAACACUGACACUGAGGAGCGAAAGCCAGGGGAGCAAACGGG